rnacentral:rRNA from 1 species
GAUGAACGCUGGCGGCGUGCUUAACACAUGCAAGUCGAACGGGAAACCUUUUAUUGAAGCUUCGGCAGAUUUAGAUUGUUUCUAGUGGCGGACGGGUGAGUAACGCGUGGGUAACCUGCCUUAUACAGGGGGAUAACAGUCAGAAAUGACUGCUAAUACCGCAUAAGCGCACAGAGCUGCAUGGCUCAGUGUGAAAAACUCCGGUGGUAUAAGAUGGACCCGCGUUGGAUUAGCUGGUUGGUGAGGUAACGGCCCACCAAGGCGACGAUCCAUAGCCGGCCUGAGAGGGUGAACGGCCACAUUGGGACUGAGACACGGCCCAGACUCCUACGGGAGGCAGCAGUGGGGAAUAUUGCACAAUGGGGGAAACCCUGAUGCAGCGACGCCGCGUGAAGGAAGAAGUAUCUCGGUAUGUAAACUUCUAUCAGCAGGGAAGAAAAUGACGGUACCUGACUAAGAAGCCCCGGCUA